AGGAAGUGGACUCUGAUCUCAGGUGUUGUUGAAACUCAGGCAGACACUGAAUCUCUGCUGAGGAACCUGAACCACCUGAGGAACACACCUGGACCUGUCGAGUUCUCCUGAACACACCUGGACCUGCAGAGUUCUCCUGAACACACCUGGACCUGUCGAGUUCUCCUGAACACACCUGGACCUGCAGAGUUCUCCUGAACACACCUGGACCUGCCGAGUUCUCCUGAACACACCUGGACCUGUCGAGUUCUCCUAAACACACCUGGACCUGCAGAGUUCUCCUGAACACACCUGGACCUGCAGAGUUCUCCUAAACACACCUAGACCUGUCGAGUUCUCCUGAACACACCUGGACCUGUCGAGUUCUCCUGAACACACCUGGACCUGCAGAGUUCUCCUAAACACACCUAGACCUGUCGAGUUCUCCUGAACACACCUGGACCUGCCGAGUUCUCCUAAACACACCUGGACCUGCAGAGUUCUCCUGAACACACCUGGACCUGCCGAGUUCUCCUAAACACACCUGGACCUGCAGAGUUCUCCUAAACACACCUGGACCUGCAGAGUUCUCCUAAACACACCUGGACCUGCCAAGCUCUCCUGUACAGACUGCUGAGUUCUGGGACAGGUGAUACGAGGAGGUGCAGGUUUCUGAAGAUGAAGCUGCAUGUGAAGAUUCAGCUGCUGACAUUCAGCUCUGAAGUUUUAAACUUCAUCUUCCUGUUUGUCUUCAGGAGCGGGAGAUGAAACCUCACAGGAAGGAGAUGAUGUUAAAGACGAACCCGUCAGAGCAGCUUCAUUCAGAAACAUGUGACUCAGUUAAAGGUCCAAUCAGUGAGCUGUGUAGAGAGUGAGAUGAUAAAGGCUCUGGGUCUGAGCGUGUUCUUGUGUGGACUGUGGAUCCUGUUCGACAUAAGGAACCUGCUGACUGCCGCCCCUCAGGUAGCACUGCUGCAGAUCAUGUUGAAAGGGACAGCAGGUUAGCCUAGCUUAGCAUAAUCACUGCAAUCAGAGGGAAAGUGUUAGCCUAGCUCCAUCUAGGCUAACACAGCAGCUGUGGUUCACUGUCCAGAGAGGAUCUCUACAGAGGUAAACAGGGUCAUAUCUCCAGGCUGUGGGGGAGGGGCCCAAAGUUAGAUCUAUUCACUGUGUUAUUGUGUGUGUGUGUGUGUGUGUGUGUGUGUGUCUUCAGAUGAGCUGCGUACCGUGGGGGCGGGACUGAUGAUUAUGGGUGGCGUGGUGGGCGUGGUCAGUGGUGGUUGGAUUUGUCUCAGCUGUUAAAGAAAACAAAAUCCUGCUGCUAACGUACCAGGGCUUCCUCAUCAUCCUCGUCUUCGGUCAGCUCUUCAUCACUCUGCUGUUGCUCCUGAACAAAGGCAAGAUUGAGAAGAAGGUGGACAACACGCUGGACCACCUGAUCGUCCACUACAGAGGAGACACAGAGAGUCAGGACACGCUGGUGGA